CACGUGUUUUCUUUCCCAGGCCACGUUGUGUAAUGCGAUAAUUCUAUCGAUCUAAAAUUAUAUAUCGCGAAUAAUCGUCGGGUAUCGGGUUAAAAUCGCGUGAUAUAAGGCGAAAUUUUCCCAGCUGUUCUACCAUUUCUCGUUUUAAUCUGCAAGAUGUCGAAGACGUGUCUUCUCGUAGUCUUUCUAGGUUUGCUAAUGAUCGUGCCCAUUCACGGAAUUACGGGAGAAGAGGCUUGGCCACCCUGUUAUCGUGAUAAAUGUCGUCAAACCUGCCUAACACGAGGAUACACAAAAGGGUUGUGCGAAGAACACGUCAAAUUUGACGUCUUAUACAAGAGGUGCAACUGUUACAACGAGUGAUGUCAUCUUUUAAAUGUUAUAACGUUUAAAAUAAAGGUUUAACGUUAAAAAAAAAUUGUGUGUCAUCGUGCUUACUUUUAACACUAUUAGAUGGCGUUACAUAUUUCAUAAAUUCAUAACCACGUGUGGUGAUUAUAAAAUUACGCGAUGAAUUUGAUAAAUCGUAAAAAUCGAGUUUUUUUUUUUUUUUUUUAAGAAAGAUAUGCUCACC
rnacentral:lncRNA from 1 species